rnacentral:rRNA from 1 species
UACGGAGGGUGCAAGCGUUAUCCGGAUUCACUGGGUUUAAAGGGUGCGUAGGUGGGUUGGUAAGUCAGUGGUGAAAUCUCCGAGCUUAACUUGGAAACUGCCAUUGAUACUAUCAGUCUUGAAUAUUGUGGAGGUCAGCGGAAUAUGUCAUGUAGCGGUGAAAUGCUUAGAUAUGACAUAGAACACCAAUUGCGAAGGCAGCUUACUACACAGUUAUUGACGCUGAGGCACGAAAGCGUGGGGAUCAAACAGG